UAACCUGCCCAAGAGAUCGGGAUAACACCUGGAAACAGAUGCUAAUACCGGAUAACAACAGAUGAUGCCUAUCAACUGUUUAAAAGAUGGUUCUGCUAUCACUCUUGGAUGGACCUGCGGUGCAUUAGCUAGUUGGUAGGGUAACGGCCUACCAAGGCGAUGAUGCAUAGCCGAGUUGAGAGACUGAUCGGCCACAUUGGGACUGAGACACGGCCCAAACUCCUACGGGAGGCAGCAGACG
rnacentral:rRNA from 1 species